UCAUACCGCCCUACCACCAUGAAUGUGUCCAAUCUCUUCUGACCUUGGAAGCUAAACAAGGUCAGGUCUGAUGGCAUUUGGAUGGGAGACUUGGAGAACACACACCAGUGUGUC
rnacentral:rRNA from 1 species